CCAUUUUCGCUUUUCCCAGAAAAAAUAUACAUUUGUUUUAAAUUCUUUGAUGACCAUAAUGUGCUGAGUCAUUCGUAUGACACUUUUUUGGCUUGAAUAAAUUAAAGGUUGAAUAACGAUGUUCAUUUCUCUCUUUAUUAUUCGAGAGUCCUGAGUAAAAUCCCAAAUGUAGAAGCGACUAAGUCCAUUCUGCUUAACGUUCUCUAUUUUGGAAUGAAUUUUAAUCCGUCUUAAGUCUCUUCAUUAUUAUUUUCAUUGCUGAAAUAUGAUGACAUUUUAAAUCGCACAAAUUCACUUACAAUUUUCUCUUGAAGGCAAAUUACGCAUACCAACAGCUUGUCUUUAUAUAUAUUUAAAUAUAAAUGAAAAGACAAAUCAAGAAAAUACACUGCUUUGAAAUAAAAUGAAUUUCACAUGAAAUUUGAAGCCAUUUGUUAGGGCUUCGAAGUGAAAUUAGUCUCCUAACUUACUUUCUCAUUGUUGUUAAUUAUCCAUCCAACCCACUGACACUGCACACAUCAAAAUGAGUUUCUCAGUGGAAAAGUGUUUCCAUUUAAGAUCAUUCUUCGCCUGGUUGAGUUGGAAAGAGGACGAGAAUGUGGCAGCAUUGUCAGCACAUGUGUUACAAACCGAAAUUUCACUUUCAAAGAGACCAAAAGCGACACUGAUGAUGAUGAGGCCGGGUUAUGGAAAAGGGGAGCUGUGCGAUGCCUUAGUUGCAGCUCCAACUGAAACUUCAUCCCCUCGGUAGCCCCUGAGCUCAUUCCAUUAUGAGGCGCCGUUUUGCUGUCCGUAAAAGGAGACAACCCAUGACGGCAGCUUUGGCAUUUAACAAGCAAGGCACAGCCCAAACGAAGCCACAAAGAGAAAGACACAACUGCACUGCAAACAAUUCAUGGGCAAAAGAGCUCAACAGCAGUGGAAAUCCAUUUACUAGCAAUGUUGAUGUACAUCAAGAUAGUUCAGGGCUGUCUUUCCCAAGUAUAAGGAGAUAGUACUCUUAAGAUUUCUGAAACUUUUGUACUAUCAUGAUCAUUGUAGAUUGACUUCUUCUAUAGUGAUCAAGAACAUAAAUCGACACUUCACAGAAGCCAAAGCCAUAUAUGCAUUUUUAGAAUAGCUUAUUUUCGAAGUGUAGAGAGAAAAGCGCGAUAAGGAUAGGAGAGGCGUUACGACUGGUCCUAACCAUUACUGGGCAGCGCGUCCGAGCUGCAGCUUUGGGUCGUGUGAAAGUGAAGGCCUUGCAGCGACUUCUGAGGUCGUUGCCAAAAAUUGUGCUGAGUUGAACUCUGCCGCGAAGUGAAACAUUUAUGAGCGGUGGAGCUUUGAGGAGUUAUGAGUGGCGGAGGAGCCUGCAAUCUGUGCUGGCGCUGCAGGUCGGCAUCGCUGCGGCCAUCUCUGUCUCCGCUCGGACCCUCUCGCUUCCUCUCGGAUUGUCAUGCAAAGCAGACUGGGGAGCUGCCACAGUGUUGGUGCUGCCAAAAAACUGGAUUUUCUAAAAAUAGACCGUGGGGAAAUACUUGAAUACGCGCCACAUGUGCAACGGCCGCCAAAAGGCACAAAAUACAACAGCAAAAGCAAAAAAGCCCAACAACUCAAGUCAAGCCGAGCUGCAGAGCUCUCGACUUUGCCGACUUUAGCUCGGAAGCUCAUCUCGUGUUAGGAGAUGUACCCAUUCCUCAUGCACAUCGUCAUCCAUUUUCUCCCAAAAAACGGGUUGAGUGCCAACAGGAAACAGAAUUUCCGAUUCGCCCGAAAGUAGUUACUAAGGGGGAAUCCAUUCAGUUGGCAAAUAAAAUGCUACAAUGCCUUUCGGCCAUGAAUUCUUGGGAUUCUACAAAAUCUGUAAAUGAAAAACGAAUGAAAAUCAAAUCGCUUGUAUGUCAGUAAAAUGAACACCAGCUUGUCUUGACUAAUGUUCAGCAUCAUCAUUUUGAAUCCAAAUGCUCUGCAAUUUUCAAAGGACCUUUUUUACGAUAGUCAUCGCCCUAUAAUAAGUUUGACAAAGACUAUUUGCCAGUCAACUAUCACUUUAUAAAUUUAAUUUUUGUUUCUCAUUUAUUUUUGAAUGCAAAAACCUAAUAGAACCACCCAGACCGCAUCUGCUGAGAGUCCCCAACUAAUAUUCUGGCUAAAUUGGAGCUCCUCCAUUCCUAAUCAAUGCAGCAAAAAGUUCCCCUAUCAAGAUUAUCCAGUUUCAACGCCUCUCUUCCAUUUCGCCUUGCCGCCUAUUAGAAAUGUUUUCUAUUUCAUCGAUGCCUUCACAGGCUCUCAAGAGUAUUUCCUAGCCAAUUCGUCGCGACGUGGCCUCGGCGUCACAUCUGGAUAGAUGCACUUGAAAAAAUUGAAAAUAAUCGUAAUAGCGCAUUUCUCUGCCAACUGAAGGAAAUAGCAUAAGAUUUUUUGAAGAGAAUGAAUAAUUAUCCAAAUUGAAUUAAAGAGAUACCUCGCCUACGUUGCAAGACUUUCAACUCCAUUUCAAUCAAAUCCUUAAUGGUAAAAUCUGUUAGGUAUUUCAAUUGUUUUUGUAUUUUAUUCGAGUCCAUUCGAGUUUUUAUGAAUCGAAGUAUACGUUUUUAGGAGUGUGCUCUCCACUUGCUCCUCAGCAGUCCUUGCCAUCUUGUCCAGUUUGCAUUUGUUUGGGUGACAGGGUGGCUGCCUGACUAUCUGGGUAUCUGGCUGGCUGGAUGGACUGGCUCCAACUACUUGGGGCUGGGUUGUCUUGAUGGGUUUAACAAUUUAACAAGUUCCAUGCAAGUUGCUGCUGCUGUUGCUGGUGCUGGUGCUGGUGCUGCCUCUGUGUCUGCCAUUGCACGCAAAGUGGUUUAACUGGUAUUAUUAUUAUUAUUUUUGUUAACUAUAGUGGCCAGUUAUAUGGCUCAUUCCCGCCCAGCUCAUUCUCUGCUCUCUGGCCAGCAGAGUCAGCAUUCCAAGUCCGCCAAACCCACCAAAACCAAUUUCAAAUCUUUUCCCCCUCAAGCUGUGUGCAAUGUGGCGUAUACGUAAUAAUUUCUUGAGCAUUGGUGAGGAAACGCUGUUCAUUAAUAUUAUUCUUCUCCUUUUAGAAAUUAAGCCAUUAUGUAAAGCGACAGUUCCUGUCUGAAAAAUACGUAUGAAGUGCGGGGUGCAGCGCGAUAAGAGUCAAGGGUAAGUAUGAGUACAUUCCUCAAGUUGCAGCUGUCAAAAUGGUUGAAUGAAUGUUGAGUUCACCCGAGGGAAACUCGAGGAUUGAAUUGGUGGAUAUUGAGGAGAAAUUGCUGUGGGUAAAUUGGAAAUUCACUAAUCAGUCUGAAUUACUAAGCAAACCAAUCGAAAAUAUUUCUAGAAUUAAAUUCAAUGUUAUACAGCAACAGGUAUGAUUAACACUGUGGGUCAGAAGUCCACCUACACUAAGGUGACAUAAAAUAUAUGUGCUAUACAAUCUGAAAUGCUUAAGAACCAACAGAUUAGAGGCGCUCAUAAAACAGUAAUUUUUUCAUUAUUUAUAUAUCAUUCUAAGAGUUAAAAACACUAGAAACGUAAAUCAGUUUAGUUUGAUUUGUAGCAGAGAUCUCCUCGUGUUAUCAAGUCAGUAGUCAGCGGCAAAACACAAGCCUCGGAAAGAAGAAAAUAACAUAAAACUGGAACGAUCGUUGCAGACUAUACGAUUCUCCAUAUAUUCCUCACUCUUACUCUCCCGCUUUAUUCACCUCCUCGGGGCCCUGAGCUCAACGCCAAGGCCAUUUAUAAAUACUCCAAGCUAAAAAUAACAUUUGUUGUUGUACGCCUUGCCAUAUAUACAUAUGCGUGAUUGUUGUUCUUUUUAAGCAAACAGCAACAAAACAGCAACAAAACAGCCACCAAACAGCAGCGAUUAAUGGCAGAGCGAUAUGCAAACAGCAAAUGGCAACGGCGACUCGUUCUGAACCCAAGUCGAGCCAAGUCAAGCCAAAGCGAUAUCCAAUGCACAAAGCCAAAGAUCCCAAAACGAGCAGAAGAUUGGGAACUUAAGACUCGCAGCUGAUAUGGCUCGAUGUUUUAUUAAUAAGUUUAGUGUCUACACAUGCCAAAGCUCCGGCUGUGCGAGCGACUAAAAAAAGAUUCGUAGCCCACAUUUGAUGGACUGCGCGUAUUACUACAUACAUAUGUAUGUAUAUAGCAGCUCUACAAGCACUCCAGACCCGGCAUUAUCUCGACCCAGGUUCUAUUCGUUUUAUUUUGGGGUGUUGGCUGAUAACACGACCAGCUGCCUUCCCCACGUCCUCCGCCACUUGGUCGGAAUAUUUUUGCACAUAAAAUAUUAUUAAUAGUAUGUACACUACACAUACAACAUACAAUCGAGAAGGUACUACUACUUCGAGACGAUAAAAGUCGUCCCCUGAGCGUCUUUAAUUCCCAUUAUCAUAAUCAUGGCAAUUCACUUUUGCUCUUUUCGGCGCCUCCAAAUAUCGAUUCCAUGCACCUUUAUUCCACACACUCAAUCACACACACGUGUGUGCGCAUUAAUAAAUACGAAAUUUAUGGUUUUAUGGUUUCCCCGAAUAUAACUGUUCAGUUGACUACGUAUGAAAAUUUGAUUCGAGCCUCAAAUGAAUAUAUUUCGAUAAAUGAACAGCAAAUUUGUUUUGCAAAAAAGCUGGGUGAGGAAAAUGCAAAUAAAAAAAAUUCCGAAAUAGGUGCAGCGUCAUUAUUACAUUUAGAUUGGAGUUGGGGGUUAUGGGACGAGUGUGUUUUCGCCUUUUUUUGGUCGUUGUUUUGCCACUUGGCAGACGUGAAAGCACAAUUAAUGGCAUAACUAAACCAAUCUCACAAGGUGCAACGAAAAAUCUCGCUAAAGUCCUUCAUUUCUCAUAAUAUAUGAUAUGCAGAAAACACCUCUUGACAACCGCACAAACCGCAAUUAAAAUUCUGCUUUUGAGGACCUGGCAAAUUGGGAAUUCAUGGCAAGGCGUCAUCAACCGAGAAUCGAAACUGAAAAGGGAAGUCCUUUAACGGCAAAUAGUUUUCGCCGAACAAUUUGCAGUUUUAAAGCUGCAAAAAGAAGGCCAAACGAAGAGGGCUUAAAAGAAAACGCAGUAGACGGCUUAUCCUUGUUUGGCGCCGUGCAAUUCGUUUGAUUCCUAAUUGAUCGGAAUUAAAAUAAUUGGUCGGCAAGUGGCGCCAGCAAAGUGCUAAAAACCCACCUCCAGUUCGUUGUCGGCCGUUGUCUAUUUAUUUUGUUAUUAAAUAAUAAGACACAAAUUAAUGCAAUUUGUUUGCUCAACCCAACGAAACAGAGGCGGUCUCAAGGCAGGCGGUCUUUCAAUUAACCCCCCAAGAAGAAUUGCCGGCCAAAAGUGACACGAAAAAAGAAACAAGACUGGCGGGAAGACAAAAAGCUACUUCUAUUUUCUGAUUAGUCAUUGUCAUCGUCUGGCCACGCGACAACCGAAAAGUAGAAAGCGAAAACGCAUUAAUUAAGCAGUUAGGGCCUUCGAAGAUUACAAUCGGCGCAUAAAAAAUACCCGAGGAAAGAAGCUCAUCUACAAACGUGCCCAGCCCAACUGGCGGCACCUAACCACUCAGUCCAGCGAUGGCCAUUGACUUCCAGGUCACAAGAUAACAAUGCCCAAACUCCAAACCUCAAAAACCUCAAAUUUGACACUACAUGAUAAAUGGGUUUCUGCUUUUUUCAGCUUUUUCAGCUGCUAGUUUUUAUUGAUGCCCCCAGCUACAGCUACCUGACCAAACUGGAUGUGGUUGUUUUCGAUUUGUUUUGUCUUCGCUUUUCUUUUCUGUCAGAUUCAAUUAAUUGGCAUUUACUUAAAUUAUCCAAUGAUGACGGCCAAUCAAAUACUCUUUAAGUGUAAUUGGAUUUUUGUCGGCUUUUCUAAUAGAGUUCGAUUAUACUUAAGUGGCACUCUUUUUUCUUGAAAAAGAUACUCUCUGCUUACUCCCAAGGGGUUUUUUUUGUUUUAACAAUUUAUGUAACAAUAAGUGAUCUGACAAACCGUUUUAUUUAAAUUAAAUGCUUAUCCCAAUGCUCUCUGUGAAUUAAAAUUAGAAAAUGGCAGAGUCACUCAAAAGAAAGAGGGCUCGAUUCUAAGAAAAAACUUAAACCUAUGUGGGGAAUCACACGGAGUCGGAUAUAGAGCAACUAUUUGGUCAUUGGGGAUUUUUUCCGAAUCCUAAUCCAUCCAGAAUUUCUAUUUUAAGGCUUGUAGCACUCAUAUGAUCACGGUUGAAUGAAAUGAUUUACUUUUCGUUUUAAAAUUAACACCACAUAAAAAGUAUAAUUGAACGUUUAGGUCACAGAAUUUUGGUAUUUUCUUUAAAUUUAAAAAUUUUGAUAUAAUCAAUAAAUCAAGUUUGAAAUUAUUAUUCCACUAGAAAACCUAGUUAACAAAAAAUCCGUUUGUAAAUUUAAAUGUCGCUAGAGUCAACCAUGUUUGCAUUGAUUUGUCGUAUUACUUAGCCCAUUCGACCGAAGAAAGAUCUGUACCCCAACCCACUCUCAAUUGACUCUUCUUGAGCUAAUUCGAUUGAGCUAAUUCGACUCCAGUAAUUUUCAUUGACUGAUAGAGCCCAUUGAACUUGUAACCGCCAAAGCAUCCCUCCGCCGCCAAUCAAUGUCAGUUAGCAUACGUUUUUGACGAAAUGUCGGAGCAGCCAAGUCGUCGCCUCCAUUCCAUUUCAUUGAUUGAUGGACUCGCCGGCUUUCGGCGUGGGCUUACACAUAUUUUUAGGCUAAUUACCCGGCGCCUCCGACUCCAAUCAAGAGCUAUCACAUUCGCCAUAUCGCCGUUCCCGCAACCACUCACGUAAAUUAUUGGAAGGCGAAGAGAAUUACUUGUCGUUUACCUAAGUAGUACGUAAGUACAACCGAAUCACUUGAUAAGAACUCAAGAUAACCAAAUGAUUUCGUCGGCAAACAAAAACAAAUAAUUGACUGAGGGCGAAACAAAAUCGAGUUGAACAAUAUAAUCACUUGAAAAUGUCAGUUAUAAGACCACUCAGCCCGCUCUAUAGAACCAGAAAAAAACGAUCCAUCGUCUUAGAAUCGAAUUUCAAGUGUUGCCAUAGACGUUUAAUUGCCGCUUAACAAAUUUAUUCUCCUUUUGCUUUGUUUUCCUUUCGGCUUUGGAUCCGUGAAUAAUGACAGUUAAAGCUUGUAUUCAUUUCACGAGAUUUCGGGUUUUUUUUUUUUGUCGAAUUAAUCGACGACGAAACUAAAUCGAAACGACUUCAACGGCUGCCGGUUGUAUGGAAAUUGGGCGCCCUUGGCUGACUUCCGCGUUACGAUGAAAGUGAGUAGAUAACUGAAGGAAAACAAGAGCUAUUGACUCGACUAUAUGACUUCCCAUUCAUAUUUUUCAGUUUUGUUGUGAUUCCGGAUUCUGAUUGAAUUUUCAAUAAAAAAGAAAUAGUGUUCAUCGACUUUAUAAUCAAAUUCAUUUAGAUACCUUUUACUCGGCUGAAGAAAGAGUGGGGGAGAUGGUGACAGUUUUACAAAACUUCAUACCUUCGAGAUCCCUACGUUCAUACGGACAGACCGGCGGAAUCGCAAACGGGCAUGGCAUACUUUACAGGGUUAUAAGCGCUUUAGAUUUAUAUACUUAUAUGUGGCUGAAAAGGGUAUUCGUUCCUGUUGCUAGACUGCAGAAAGCCAUUUUACUCCACAAAUAACCUUGAUCAUUUAUUAUAUCAAUAAAAAUCCUAGCCGGUUAAU